AUUGCGGCAAUCGCCAUCAAGAGCCUAUCAGAGAUCCAGUCCGAGAGCGACGUUGACCUGGAUCGUCUUGUCGGCUUCGACCUGACAUCGUUAGUAUAAUUUGGUCGAUCCACCUGCACGCAUAAGUGCAUUUUUGUGGGAUAAUUUCACUUAAAUUCAGCUCACACAACUGACUUGCAACAUAAUAGCCUAGAUAUCACUUUGCAAAACUAUAGCCCAAAAAAUAAUAGGCUAAGGUCCGGAAAAAGCUUUUCUACACUACCAACUACUGCUAUUAUUCCUUCUUUAUGAAUUCUUACGCUUCGCACAAAUUCCAAUUGAAACAAUCAACGUCAAUGGUGCCAUUUAAUUUCUGGAAACACGUAAGGCUUUCAUAUUUGAAUUUGCUUUUCUUAAUGAAAAAUUGUGUAGAAGAGGAAGCAGUAGAAUCAUCUACAGUUCUAGAGGAGACUUAGAUGCAUUAGAUGAUAAAAUGAGAAUAGUGAUAUAUCUUAGAACCAUUAAUGUAAUUGACGGAUUUU
rnacentral:lncRNA from 1 species